AAAGCACUUCGUUUCCAAGCUCCAAAACCUGCCACCAUCUCCAUGUCUUUCCCUUCCUAUCAUAGGCCAUCUUUACCUUCUCAAACUACCCCUCCACCGAACUCUCUCACAAAUUUCGAACCAGAAAGGUCCCAUCCUUUAUUUUCACUUCGGAUCUCGUCCUGUCAUUGUAGUCUCAUCACCUUCACUAGCAGAAGAGUGUUUCACCAAAAACGAUAUCGUCUUUGCCAACCGCCCUCGCCUGACUAUUGGGAAACACCUCGG
rnacentral:misc_RNA from 1 species